rnacentral:rRNA from 1 species
GAUGAACGCUGGCGGCGUGCCUAAUACAUGCAAGUCGAGCGAACAGACGAGGAGCUUGCUCCUUUGACGUUAGCGGCGGACGGGUGAGUAACACGUAGGUAACCUACCUAUAAGACUGGGAUAACUUCGGGAAACCGGAGCUAAUACCGGAUAAUAUUUCGAACCGCAUGGUUCGAUAGUGAAAGAUGGCUUUGCUAUCACUUAUAGAUGGACCUGCGCCGUAUUAGCUAGUUGGUAAGGUAACGGCUUACCAAGGCAACGAUACGUAGCCGACCUGAGAGGGUGAUCGGCCACACUGGAACUGAGACACGGUCCAGACUCCUACGGGAGGCAGCAGUAGGGAAUCUUCCGCAAUGGGCGAAAGCCUGACGGAGCAACGCCGCGUGAGUGAUGAAGGUCUUCGGAUCGUAAAACUCUGUUAAUAGGGAAGAACAAACGUGUAAGUAACUGUGCACGUCUUGACGGUACCUAAUCAGAAAGCCACGGCUAACUACGU